GAUGAACGCUGGCGGCGUGCCUAAUACAUGCAAGUCGAGCGAACAGAUGAGGAGCUUGCUCCUCUGACGUUAGCGGCGGACGGGUGAGUAACACGUGGAUAACCUACCUAUAAGACUGGGAUAACUUCGGGAAACCGGAGCUAAUACCGGAUAAUAUAUUGAACCGCAUGGUUCAAUAGUGAAAGACGGUUUUGCUGUCACUUAUAGAUGGAUCCGCGCCGCAUUAGCUAGUUGGUAAGGUAACGGCUUACCAAGGCAACGAUGCGUAGCCUACCUGAGAGGGUGAUCGGCCACACUGGAACUGAGACACGGUCCAGAGUCCUACGGGAGGCAGCAGUAGGGAAUCUUCCGCAAUGGGCGAAAGCCUGACGGAGCAACGCCGCGUGGGUGAUGAAGGUCUUCGGAGCGUAAAACUCGGUUAUUAGGGAAGAACAAAUGUGUAAGUAACUAUGCACGUCUUGACGGUACCUAAUCAGAAAGCCACGGCUAACUACGUG
rnacentral:rRNA from 1 species